rnacentral:tRNA from 1 species
GCCUCUGUAGCUCAGUUGGUUAGAGCGCUGCACCGGAAUCGCAGGGCCGAAAGUUCAGUUCCUACCAGAGGAC